ensembl:lncRNA
CAGAAUCCUGUCUGAAAUCAGUUUCAUGAGGUGCCUUCAUGCCAAAACACUGCCUGUAAAGUCAUUGCCUGAUAAGGUAGCAAGGCAGCAAGUACGCUGUAUACACACUAAAAAAUCCUGGGUUAUUUUUUCUACCCAAAUGCUGGGUUGAGCCAUUUGGGUAAAUUUUUUGGGUUAUUUUUUCAGUCUUGGGUAGUUUUUGGGUAGUUCUAUGUAACCCAACCGCUGGGUUAUUUUCUGGGUCGUUUUCACUAAGAGCUGAAUCAAUGCACCCCUUCCCCCACUCGGACGCAUCAACCCAGCUCAUUGGGUCAAAUCAACUCAGCGCAGGUUCAGCGCAGCGCGGGCUGACUGAAUUCGAGGUGGAGGUGGAUGCCACACACACACACUGUAAUAUUUGGAGAAAUAAGAAAACCACCUUUUUGUACACGUACGGUCAAAGCUGCCCAUCCCCCAUCCUACUGCAUGCAGUGCUGAGUCAAAAACAACCCAAUUACUGGGUCAUCUGUCGCGGGCAUUUUGGAUCGUUAGCAGGAGGAAUUCUACGGUGCACUUUUCAAGCAGACUGACUUCAGCGUUUUUUAUUCUGGUGAAAUAAAGACCUGCUCUCGACUGUCCGUGGUGGCAAACCCACAGCCUUUCGCUCGAGGUGACACUUUUAUCUCAUCUAAUUUGAAUUAUUGCCAUACAUAGAUAAUAAAAUUGCCAUAAACCAUUAAAAAUCAGCUGUUACUAUUAUUAAAAAGAUCCGGUACUGUGGCUAUACCCUUUAGGGUGCUUUCACAUCUCUAGUUCGGUUCAUUUGGUCCGAACCAAGGGCAAACAAUUAUACAUUGUAGCAUUUUUCAGCUAUUUUGGUUCCUUUUCACACCACACUGAUUGCUUUGGUCCGAACCAGUUGAAACGAACCAAAAUGCAGUCACAUGACAACAUCCACAUCACUCAUUGGUCAUGACGUAUUUCCUAAACUGCUUUUCGAUUGGUCAGAAUUUACGUGCGGGAAAAAUUCCAACAUAAGAGGAAAAAGCCAGCAAACAACACGGAGACAACACAACUAUGGAGAGACGACUGUGCGGGCUGGUUUUGUCCCUGGCCAUAAUCUAUUACAUUGUUUGUAUACACCAGAAUAUGCAAACAAUACAUUUUUAUAAUGAAGUGCGGAUGCGGCUUGAAAACAACGUUCUGAUGCACUGCAAACGACGAGCGGGCAUCGCUCGUAACUUCAAGCGGAGGCGUGCAUUAAUCCACGAGCUGCCAUGCUAAAGUACAAACUGUCAACAAACACUUCCUCAUCCCAUAAUACACAGCGCAGCUGACUACGGCAGCUGGUUUAGUCCAAAAAAAUGAUCAGUACUUUUUUUGCAGUUGGGUCUGUUCGAGGUCGGAUCACGUUCUCACCACAAACGAACCGCUCCAGAGUUCGCUUUGAAAGCGUACCGAGACCACCUCUUCAAGCAGGUCUCGGUACGCUUGUUUGGUCCGCCUUUGGUGCGCACCCGAGUACGAUUGCUGCUUUCACACCUGCCCAAACGAACCGCACCAAAGGGGGGGAAACGAACUCUGGUACGAUUCAACCGAACUAAAUGAGGCAGGUGUAAAAGCACCCUUAGUUAAGACCGACCAGUAGCGAACCAUGACUCUUGAGGUUUGGCCCUCUCCCGCUAACUUACCCUCAUUGCGGGAAAAACAAACUAAAGUUACUAGCCUAGCUUACAGGGUCCUCUUCUAAAACAAUUCUAUCUUUGAAAUAAGAUGCUACUCCAGGCUUAAGGCGGUCGCACACUGGACGACAAGUGCAGCGCUGCACCGCGCCGCACCUCAUCUGUAAAAUUUGCACAAAUAGUUUUUUAUGAGUGAAUUGCACACCGGCGACUGUCCGCGGAUCCCAGCUGCGACUUUGGGCGCUGUUAAAAAUAUCCUGCCGCGCAGAGCGCCUCAGCGCCACUCACAUAAUUUUUACAUUACAUUACAUUACAUUUGUCCCAAAUUAUUGUUAAUGAACGUAAUGACUUCAUCCUAGAUUGGAAUAUUAUGUAUUGUGCGUUUUUCAGCAAAACGUUUCUCUUUUUGUGACUCUAAAUUUCGUGCUUCAUAUAGAGAGCUAAUAGAUGGCAAUCUCGCACCCUACGUCAUAAUUUCGAUUUGUCGACUCAUAAAUACUAACUUCCCAGGAGGGCUUGAAUGCACCAUAAAAACCACUGGUCUAAGAACAUUAUUUGACAAAUUAUUAAUUAUUAGUCAUAAAUUAUUAUUUGACAUAACGAUUUAUAAAUUGUUAAAAUAUUGGUAUCCGGAACGCUGCGAUCUCGAAGACUACAGUGUACACCGUGAGUUUUUUUAAAAAGCUUAUUUUUCAUACGAAUAAAUAGUACUCAUAAAUGUCUGUUGAGACUUGAAACAAGUGGAUGCUUGGACCCAGAAACAGCAUUCCUGAUGUCAUGACAGCAUUUGUCAUCACCAGCUGUCACUAGGUAAACCUUCAGUAAUUCACUAAUAUCAAAGUCACUUUCAGGCAUAUAUAUCUAAAGUCUUUGCUACUAUGCCUUCAAUGUUCACAUGAAAAUGGAAAUUUUGUCAUCAGUUACUCACCCUCUUGUAUGUACACCAUUUAAUUGAAUGAUUUUAAAAAAUGAUUUUAAAUCUGAUUAUGGGGUUUAAACUAAAGCAAUUCAGUUUUUUGAAGAUCAAAUACCCGUAAUUUAAAUAUUUCUUUGACUAUGAGGGAUAGUUUACCUCAAAAUAAGUUUCAACUAACUAAAAUGUAUGUCACUCAAAAAUUGCUUGACUUUCUUUUGUGGGACACUGAAUGGAGAAAUGAUGGUUGAAUAAUGCAUCAGAAAUAAAACUGUCUGCUGUAAGUGAAGGUCUGUGUUUUUGUGUUUUAGGUGGUCUGAUUAUGCAUGGAUGGAUUGCUUUGUUCAGGAGAAGUUAACUGAAUGGCAGCUUCCAGAACUUGUUAAUAGUUUUGAAGGUAAGUUUCCCUGUUAUUUCCUGUUAUGUCCUAUAUGUCCUGUCCUUUCACCAUCCAAUAAAGCCAUACAGGCCAUACACUAUUCUUAAAUUAUACCAUACUCUGUCUGAAUACUUAAUUCUGAUUAGCUGCAAGUUGUGGCAUAAAUCUGUUUAAUGCACAGGUAGUUCAAUCUCAGUUUAUUCACAGUUGUAUAUAAAUAAUGUUUCACUGAAACACGCAUACGUCAUUUGCACAUAGAGAUCUGAGAUCACCCUGUACACACACAUACAAUCAUUCAGUACAGAAACUUAUCAGCACUGCCCCAGGACUUGUGUUAGUAAAAUCACUAUACUACUGUAAGUAAGUUGAAGUAAUUAAAUGCACAGCUUUUUUUUUUAAAGACAGUAAUGCUGCACACAGAUGCAAGUUAUUUAUAGAUACAGGUAU